rnacentral:rRNA from 1 species
UACGGAGGGUGCAAGCAUUAAUCGGAUUUAUUGGGCGUAAAGGGCGCGUAGGCGGUAGUGUAAGUCAGACGUGAAAUUCCGGGGCUCAACCUCGGAGCUGCAUUUGAAACUACAUUACUAGAGGGUAGGCGGAGAAAACGGAAUUCCACAAGUAGCGGUGAAAUGCGUAGAUAUCUGGAGGAACACCGGUGGCGAAGGCGGCAUCCUGGACCAACACUGACACUGAGGAGCGAAAGCCAGGGGAGCAAACGGG